GACGAACGCUGGCGGCGUGCCUAAUACAUGCAAGUAGAACGCUGAAGGAGGAGCUUGCUUCUCUGGAUGAGUUGCGAACGGGUGAGUAACGCGUAGGUAACCUGCCUGGUAGCGGGGGAUAACUAUUGGAAACGAUAGCUAAUACCGCAUAAGAGUAGAUGUUGCAUGACAUUUGCUUAAAAGGUGCAAUUGCAUCACUACCAGAUGGACCUGCGUUGUAUUAGCUAGUUGGUGGGGUAACGGCUCACCAAGGCGACGAUACAUAGCCGACCUGAGAGGGGGCUCGGCCACACUGGGACUGAGACACGGCCCAGACUCCUGCGGGAGGCAGCAGUAGGGAAUCUUCGGCAAUGGACGGAAGUCUGACCGAGCAACGCCGCGUGAGUGAAGAAGGUUUUCGGAUCGUAAAGCUCUGUUGUAAGAGAAGAACGAGUGUGAGAGUGGAAAGUUCACACUGUGACGGUAUCUUACCAGAAAGGGACGGCUAACUACGUG
rnacentral:rRNA from 1 species